rnacentral:rRNA from 1 species
AUUGAACUCGCUGUGAAGAUGCAGUGUACCCGCGGCAAGACGGAAAGACCCCGUGAACCUUUACUAUAGCUUGACACUGAACAUUGAGCCUUGAUGUGUAGGAUAGGUGGGAGGCUUUGAAGCGUGGACGCCAGUCUGCGUGGAGCCGACCUUGAAAUACCACCCUUUAAUGUUUGAUGUUCUAACGUGGAUCCGUAAUCCGGGUUGCGGACAGUGUCUGGUGGGUAGUUUGACUGGGGCGGUCUCCUCCUAAAGAGUAACGGAGGAGCACGAAGGUUGGCUAAUCCUGGUCGGACAUCAGGAGGUUAGUGCAAUGGCAUAAGCCAGCUUGACUGCGAGCGUGACGGCGCGAGCAGGUGCGAAAGCAGGUCAUAGUGAUCCGGUGGUUCUGAAUGGAAGGGCCAUCGCUCAACGGAUAAAAGGUACUCCGGGGAUAACAGGCUGAUACCGCCCAAGAGUUCAUAUCGACGGCGGUGUUUGGCACCUCGAUGUCGGCUCAUCACAUCCUGGGGCUGAAGUAGGUCCCAAGGGUAUGGCUGUUCGCCAUUUAAAGUGGUACGCGAGCUGGGUUUAGAACGUCGUGAGACAGUUCGGUCCCUAUCUGCCGUGGGCGCUGGAGAACUGAGGGGGGCUGCUCCUAGUACGAGAGGACCGGAGUGGACGCAUCACUGGUGUUCGGGUUGUCAUGCCAAUGGCACUGCCCGGUAGCUAAAUGCGGAAGAGAUAAGUGCUGAAAGCAUCUAAGCACGAAACUUGCCCCGAGAUGAGUUCUCCCUGAGACUUAGAGUCUCCUGAAGGAACGUUGAAGACGACGACGUUGAUAGGCCGGGUGUGUAAGCGCAGCGAUGCGUUGAGCUAACCGGUACUAAUGAACCGUGAGGCUUAACCUUACAACGCCGAAG